rnacentral:rRNA from 1 species
GACGAACGCUGGCGGCGUGCUUAACACAUGCAAGUCGAACGAUGACGACCGAGCUUGCUCGGUCUGAUUAGUGGCGAACGGGUGAGUAACACGUGAGCAACCUGCCCUUCACUCUGGGAUAACCUCGGGAAAUCGGGGCUAAUACCGGAUAUGAGCUCCUGUCGCAUGGCGGGUGUUGGAAAGUUUUUCGGUGAAGGAUGGGCUCGCGGCCUAUCAGUUUGUUGGUGAGGUAGUGGCUCACCAAGGCGAUGACGGGUAGCCGGCCUGAGAGGGCGACCGGCCACACUGGGACUGAGACACGGCCCAGACUCCUACGGGAGGCAGCAGUGGGGAAUAUUGCACAAUGGGCGAAAGCCUGAUGCAGCGACGCCGCGUGAGGGAUGACGGCCUUCGGGUUGUAAACCUCUUUCAGCAGGGAAGAAGCGAAAGUGACGGUACCUGCAGAAGAAGCGCCGGCUAACUACGUG